UGACAGUUUGUUACAUAAGUUUUAGGUUAAGUCCGAGAACCAUGCACUAAUUCGAGUAAUUUUCACAUUACGUAGGAGUAUAAUUACGCCAUUUCCUUUUCGACUUGAAUUUGAGAAUUUGUGAAUAAUUCGCGCCGAUGAUGAAAAAUAGGAAGCCUUAGUCUGCGACGGAAAUUAAUGUCAACGAUAUGUGUGUGAUAGGAAGCAGAAGCAAGUCGUAACCAGCAAAGGAAGGAAGAAACUAUCAAAUUAAUGCUUUGUUUGCUCAGAUACAUAUUCAACUAGACAUUGUUUGGUUUUGUCACAGAUUAAACCGAAAAAAUAAAAAUGUCUCCGCAGCGGACGUUGAUGUGGUAGAAGGGUUUACGAAGAGAGUAUCCACGAAGGUAUCGGAAUGUUUGGACGCGGGCGCGUCUUUUUGUGCAUGUGCGCGCUGUGGGAACAGAAACCAAGGGAUACAGCGACACGACGAAGACGACAAUGAAUGAAACCGAAUAUUUUCGCUGCCAAAAGGUAUUUUAAUUUCGAGUAGAAAAUCCGAGCGACCUAAAACAAAAAGACCGGGUAUGGGUGGGACAGCGAGUUAAUAUUUACGACUGAGAAUAUUUUCUUUCCACUGCAGCGGACGACAACUAGACUCCGACGAAUGGUCAUAAUAAAAAUAAUACAGGUUUUUA